AGAGUUUGAUCCUGGCUCAGGAUGAACGCUGGCGGCGUGCUUAACACAUGCAAGUCGAACGAAGCACGGGGACGGAAGCCCUCCGGGGUGGAAGGCCGCGUGACUGAGUGGCGGACGGGUGAGUAACGCGUGGGUAACCUGCCCCAUACAGGGGGAUAACAGCCGGAAACGGCUGCUAAUACCGCAUGCACAUGCGGGGGCGCAUGCCCCUGGAUGGAAAGCUUUCGCGGUAUGGGAUGGGCCCGCGUCUGAUUAGGCAGUUGGCGGGGUAACGGCCCACCAAACCGACGAUCAGUAGCCGGCCUGAGAGGGCAACCGGCCACAUUGGGACUGAGACACGGCCCAAACUCCUACGGGAGGCAGCAGUGGGGAAUAUUGCACAAUGGGGGGAACCCUGAUGCAGCGACGCCGCGUGGGUGAAGGAGUAUUUCGGUAUGUAAAGCCCUAUCAGCAGGGAAGAACAAUGACGGUACCUGACUAAGAAGCACCGGCUAAAUACGUG
rnacentral:rRNA from 1 species